AGUGACCGCGGAGUGCCGCGUGUUAAUGAUAAGGGUCUGUCCGAAUUCACUCGUGUUUCCCCGCUACUUAGUCAACUAAACAGAAUUCCGGAGGAGCCGCUCGCUGCAGCCUGUAGGAAGGCGGAGUUGGACAUCCAACCCCGCCCACAUCCAACUCCGCCCAUGUCCAACUCCGCCUUACGUCUAAAGCAACACCCACCUUACGUCCGUCACGAACGCCUACAUUUACUCCAGGUAAACAGGAAUUGUAGCCGAGAAAGCAGCUAAAGCAUCUAUCUGAUUUAUAUCUCCGGUUAUGGCGCAUCCAACACAUGUCCAGGCCACUCCUGACCCUUCACGGUUUGGCCAGUGUGGUGUUUUCAAAUGCCCCUGCUUCAGUUUUGACACUGACCAGCGAUUUAAUAACAGCCUACAUCUACAAAACCAUAUCAAACAAGCAGUCGAGAAUAACGGAAAGUUCAGCGUGUUGAACGUGUGACUGAUGAAGGAGAUAGAAUGGGCAACGUCUCCUUUGAACAGAUGCCCCUUAUUCUCAUAGAUACAGUUCUGGAUGAGGGUGACAAAGCUUUUUUAAAGCUGUCACUGGUUUGUCGUCUCUUCCGGGACAUUGUUUGGACAACAAUCAUUCCGGGCCUGGGCACAUUUCGAGUGGCUUGACAGUGUAGUGCCAUGAAAACAUCACAGUGCUGCAUGUAAAGACGAGUUUCGCAGGAUGUACGAACUGCAGUGCUGCCAGAACUGUCAAGAAACUUAUAAAGACUACAUACUGGGCUACGUUGGGCAUGGGAGACGAGGGGAGCUUGUGGCAUUUUACAGCGAAAACGAGCACCCUGGAUUCUGCAACCAGCUUCAUGAAUGGCUGGGUGUGUGAGUGGCUGGGUGUGUGAGUGGCUGAGUGUGAGUGGCUGGGUGUUGCAUUUUUAAAUAAAGACUUCUGUAUUUGUUUGACCAAAGCAUGUAACCAAACAUUUUAAAGGCUAGUGUGCCAAUAAAUGCCAAUAAAGAUAUUGUAUUAGCUUGGACAAA